rnacentral:rRNA from 1 species
UGCCCUACGGGACGCAGCAGUGGGGGAUAUUGCACAAUGGGGGAAACCCUGAUGCAGCGACGCCGCGUGUGGGAAGACGGUCUUCUGGAUUGUAAACCACUGUCCCCAGGGACGAAAAUGACGGUACCUGGGGAGGAAGCUCCGGCUAACUACGUGCCAGCAGCCGCGGUAAUACGUAGGGAGCAAGCGUUGUCCGGAUUUACUGGGUGUAAAGGGAGCGUAGACGGCAGCGCAAGUCUGGAGUGAAAUGCCGGGGCUCAACCCCGGAACUGCUUUGGAAACUGUGCAGCUAGAGUGCGGGAGAG